rfam:Canis lupus familiaris chromosome 10, whole genome shotgun sequence.
GCUUUGGUGAUGAGGCUCUGGAAUAAGCACUGGCACGUGGCUGGAGUAAGAUUGUGCAGGAAUUUGUCUCCUUGCCUGCCUUCUGAGAACAGC